GUGCCAGCAGCCGCGGUAAUACGGAAGGUCCGGGCGUUAUCCGGAUUUAUUGGGUUUAAAGGGAGCGCAGGCCGGUGCUUAAGCGUGACGUGAAAUGCCGCGGCUCAACCGUGGAAGUGCGUCGCGAACUGGGUGCCUUGAGUGAGUUCGACGUAGGCGGAAUUCGUGGUGUAGCGGUGAAAUGCUUAGAUAUCACGAAGAACCCCGAUUGCGAAGGCAGCCUACGAGGCCUCAACUGACGCUAAAGCUCGAAGGUGCGGGUAUCGAACAGGAUUAGAUACCCUGGUAGUCCGCACGGUAAACGAUGGACGCCCGCUGUUGGCGAUACACGGUCAGCGGCCAAGCGAAAGCGUUAAGCGUCCCACCUGGGGAGUACGCCGGCAACGGUGAAACUCAAAGGAAUUGUCGGGGGCCCGCACAAGCGGAGGAACAUGUGGUUUAAUUCGAUGAUACGCGAGGAACCUUACCCGGGCUUGAACUGCAGCAGAACGAUUCAGAGAUGAUGAGGUCCUUCGGGACUGCUGUGGAGGUGCUGCAUGGUUGUCGUCAGCUCGUGCCGUGAGGUGUCGGCUUAAGUGCCAUAACGAGCGCAACCCCUGCGUGUAGUUGCCAUCAGGCGAUGCUGGGCACUCUGCGCGGACUGCCACCGUAAGGUGUGAGGAAGGUGGGGAUGACGUCAAAUCAGCACGGCCCUUACGUCCGGGGCUACACACGUGUUACAAUGGGUGGUACAGAGAGCAAGUCCCCAGCAAUGUGGGCUGAAUCAUGAAAGCCAUCCUCAGUUCGGAUUGGGGUCUGCAACCCGACCCCAUGAAGCUGGAUUCGCUAGUAAUCGCGCAUCAGCCAUGGCGCGGUGAAUACGUUCCCGGGCCUUGUACACACCGCCCGU
rnacentral:rRNA from 1 species